UGUGACGAGCCGCGAGUGUGACGACACGAAGGCGACACGAAGCGGGCUGGCGAGCGCGGCCGGCUCAGUUCAGGUUGACCCCGCGAGCAGUGCGCCGUGCUACCACACGAAGCCACACCGCCGACCAAACCUCGUGACGCGCUCGUCAAAGCUUCAGUUGCCGCUCAGUCCUCGUGUCGGAACCCUGUUCGUCGCUCUCUCGAUCCCCGGACGCGAGUUUUCACAAAUUCCUCACUCAGUUUUCGGUGUUUUCAUUCCGCAAACAUUCCAGUCUCGGCUCGGACUCUAGCCGGUUUUUGUCUCGUUCGCUCCUUCACACACUCGGAAAUAAAAACACUGCGUGUGUGCGUUUCUUCUCGGGGUGCCCGUGCUUAUUUCUCGUGCUUCGACAAUAUUUUCGCGUGGAUUCUCUCCGUCCAGUGCGGUAUCAGUGAGCUCUGAUCUGUCCCGGUUGUGGUGUGACAUGUAUUGACAGUGCUGUGCGGUGUGAAUCUACAGGUGUGUGACUCCGCGGUUCCUCUGUGCUUUGCUUUGGUGCUUUCCCCAAGGAUUUUAGUUCCUCUCUCACGUUGGAAUAUUCUCCCCGGACCCUCUGUGGACACAACGCUGUAUCAAUGGACGGCUCCCUCCGGUGCCAAUAAACAUCUAACACCCUCAAAAUGGAGCCACAGUCUACAUCCUAGGUGCAACAUACAGAGCCCACAUCCUGAAAAAUGAAGCUGCCUAACGAGCUGGUGACUGACAUGAAGCUGAUGUCGUCCAUUUUGGAUCGGUCAUCCAGCACGUACAUCAUUUUGUUGGGCUCCAAAAUUGGCAAAGAGGACGUACGGCCUAUUCCUGAUUCCGAUGCGAUCAACGAGGAAGAUGAGAAAGACUCUCUGGCUUGCCAGAAUUUGUCGAACUUACUCUCUCGAAUUCAGAUUUCUGAUAAGGAUUCUGUCGGACUCACGAAAGUGGACGAUCUUAUCUCGCGGAGCCCUGCCCGAUCUAGCGUCAACUACAAGAAGACAUCACGGCAAGUUUACAGCCCUACCCGGCAGCCGCAGACCCACAUCAUCAAAGGCUCGCUGCCAUCAAAACUGGCGACUGCUACCUUACCUCUUCUUUACUUGCUCAAGAUGUUCAUCAACCAAUUCCGCUCAACAUUCCCCUAAGCUCGGUGAGUAUCCGGGACUUUACGCCGGUAACUUAUUUUAAAAACUCCCUUGCCACUUAACUUUGCGUUAGCUCAGGUAAGUUCCUCGCUUUAAUGAGCCAAGUUCGGGGUCGUCGCCCUUUAGAGAUCGCCGCAUGGUCGCCCGUGAAAACGAACGCUUCGCGAAUUUAACGGCCCCGACUUUUCGCGCAAUUUUAGCGGAGGAGACCAACUUCUUCCGCUGGGGGCGUUGACCCCUCUCGGGCGGAUUUCAGGGCACGGCGGAUAUCUAAUUCAGGGAAGCAGAAGAACUCACCUGUUCCUUGGAAGGGGCUUCCACGGAAACACGCCUUAGACA
rnacentral:lncRNA from 1 species